AAUUGACAGACCUGGAGCAGUUACUACUGCCUGCUGCUAAGGUUUCCACUACACAGGAGAGAAAAUGAUACCUUUUGCUUUCUGUCUGUCUGAUUGUGGCAGCCAAGAUAGGGUGGGGAAACACAGGG
ensembl:snoRNA